AUUGAACGCUGGCGGCAGGCCUAACACAUGCAAGUCGAGCGAGCGGCGGACGGGUGAGUAAUGUCUGGGAAACUGCCUGAUGGAGGGGGAUAACUACUGGAAAAGGUAGCUAAUACCGCAUACCAUCAGAUGUGCCCAGAUGGGGUUAGCGAUUAGGUGGGGUAACGGCUCACCUGGGCGACGAGCCCUAGCUGGUCUGAGAGGAUGACCAGCCACACUGGAACUGAGACACGGUCCAGACUCCUACGGGAGUCAGCAGGGGGGAAUAUUGCACAAGGGGCGCAAGCCUGAUGCAGCCAUGCCGGGUGUGUGAAGAAGGCCUCGGGUUGUAAAGCACUUUCAGCGGGGAGGCGUUACCCGCAGAAGAAGCACCGGCUAACUCCGUGCCAGCAGCCGCGGUAAUUC
rnacentral:rRNA from 1 species